rnacentral:rRNA from 1 species
GAUGAACGCUGGCGGUAUGCCUAACACAUGCAAGUUGUACGAGGGUUUCUAACCCAAGUGGCGGACGGGUGAGUAACACGUGAGAAUUUACCUUUAGGAGAGUGAUAACAACUGGAAAUGGUUGCUAAUACCUCAUAUGCUUUAGAGUGAAAUAGAUUUAUCUGCCUAUAGAAAAGCUCGCGGCUGAUUAGCUUGUUGGUAAGGUAAUGGCUUACCAAGGCGACGAUCAGUAUCUGGUUUGAGAGGACGAUCAGACACACUGGAACUGAGACACGGUCCAGACUCCUACGGGAGGCAGCAGUGGGGAAUUUUCCGCAAUGGGCGAAAGCCUGACGGGGCAAUACCGCGUGAGGGAAAGACGGCCUAUGGGUUGUAAACCUCUUUUUUCAGGGAGGAAUUCAAUGACGUGUACCUGAAGAAUAAGCAUCGGCUAACUCCGUGCCAGCAGCCGCGGUAAG